rnacentral:lncRNA from 1 species
AUGGCCCCACAGGCCCUGAUGCCUCCUCCUCUGAUUGCAGGCACCCAUGUGGAAUAUGCAGCACCACUGCUGCCCACAGCCAGGGGAUGGGGACCAUGGGUCCUGCGGGUCCCAUCUGUGUCCCCUGAGACUUGGCAGUGCCUGUGGGAGGGAUGGGAUGUGAAAGCUGCCCCCAAUGCCAGGGGGUCGAGAGGUUCCGCCACAGCCUGGCUCUGGAAUGGACUGUUCCUGCAUUUGCUGAUAACAGAGGAGGUGAAGCCUGACCCAGGAAAGCAGGCAAGAUCCGCAGAGAUAAACUCCCCGCAGCAAGACAAAGGCACUGACCUCUGUGCAGCCCGAGCCACCGCAUUCCCACAAGCACAGCAACAAUUGCCCAGGAGCAGCAGUGAGACCUGCACCAUCCGUGUGGCAGCACCAGCACCUCCUGCAGCAUCGCUGUGCGACAGCCAAGGCACUGCUGUUAGUCAGAUCUGCCUUAGGUAUCAACCAGAUCUGCUGCAGAUAUCAGCCAGCUCUGCUGGAGAUACCAGCUGCCCAGGCAGGGGCAGCACAGGUAAUUCUCACUCUCCUUUUGGCAGUGCAGCCACCUGCACUGCAUGGACAGAGAGCACAUGCACACUACAUAAUCAAAGGGAAAUUCAUUCUCAGCACAACAUUCCUGGGUCCAACCGUACCCAGCCCUCCCUCUUUUCCAGACGGCAGAGCUCAGCAAAGCAGGUGCUCACCUGUAUUUCCCACUUUACAUUUCUAUACCUGCAAUUGCUGUGCAAACUUGCUUUAGUUUUCAUUCCUAAGUGCAGUGGAGUAUCUCAUGCACUUGUGCAGUUCAGAGCAGGCUUUGCGCGAGGGCUGUGUGCCACCUGGCACUCUGGUGCACACAGUGAAGCCGAACCUCUGCUUCUGCACCGCCACACCUGGCAUCUGCCGGUAUCUCCCUGCCUGGCACCGCACACCCCUGUCCCUCUGCCAGCACUGCCCUGGGACAGCAAAAGCUGGAAAAGGCAGAGGUGCUUAAUGGGAUUUGCAGAAGCAGCCAGCUCGGUUACAGCGUCAUGCCUGUUGUCUCAGGCGUGUUUUUUAAAUCUUUAUCUCUGCAUCAUUAAACACUGA